UUUUCCUCGUCCCGCUGGCAUAAGCGCUGUUUAUGGAGACCACGGGCGGCAUCUCCCGUUGAGCUUAGUGUUACUACUGCGCAAGCAGACUUGGUCUCAGUUACGAGCGAGAGGGAUUUUCUGCUGGAUGAGAAUGCUAUCCCGCUCUGACAGCCUCGUAUUCCUCUUUCUUUCUCCGUCUUUUCCUCUUUCUCUCUUUCUGUCUUUAGUUUGCUAGCGUGGUUCCCUUUUAUCAGGGAUCUUCCAAUGUAAUGUAUAAAAAUAAGGCUGUUUGAGGUGUACGCGUUUCACGUAACAGAAAGCAGCUUGCAAUGGAUCGCAAGACUCAGUGGUUCCUUUGCUUCAAGAACUACUCCUGUGAUUUCACCUUCGACCUGUCUGGCAUUUGAAUCCGUCGCGCGUUCAUGCACAAGACGACGUUCCUGGAUAUUAUCUCUUGUCUCCUUGAUUUUGUCUAUCCUAUUUAGGAUUUCCACGCGUGUUUGCUCUUAAGAUGCAUUGUUGAGAACCCGGUAAGCGAAUUGCAGAUUGAAAUUCUUUCGUUCAAUGACGUUAAUGAUGAUAUUUAAUAAAUAAUUGAUUAAUCAUUAAAUGCCAUAACUCAUGGUUUGAAAAUUGUUCCAUUAAAAUCCAAUCAUAAAACUCUUUCAACGAAGUGUCAUCAUUUCUGAUCAAUAAUCUCUCUUUAAACCAUAUUAGAGUUCAAAAGCUUACUUGAAGGUUUUCAAACGCGGUGACCCAUCGAAGCAGAUUAAAAGCUGCAAAAGAGCUUCUUUUGCCUCUACUAACUUUACCUUUUUUUUGUUUUCUACGUCCAGAGAAAGAGAGAGAGAGAGAGAGAAAAGCAUAUCGAACUGCAAGUAAGAGGCUUUCGUCUUUCAAGUCCCACUAACUUCUUCAACUUGUAAUUCUUUUCUGGUAGACUGAAGCUAAGUUAUCUUUCUCAUUUCUAGUGUUUUGGUUUGACUUCAAAUAUGACUCACCAUAAUUCAUAUUAUUUAUCUAAUUUUAUUAAAAAGUAUGGGAUAUCAUAAAACUCAGAAAUAAUCAAAAUUUUUAUAACAUCAAAUGUUCAAUAUUCUUUGAAUAGUCGUUCAAUAAUCUGCAAAAUUUUUGAACUAUCCUGAAUCAUUCUGGUGCAUAAAAUGGACGAUAUUAGUAUAUAUCGAGUUUAUACAGUGUAGCUGGCUGGGCUUACGAAAGGCUGGAUGUUCCAGGAGAGAAGAAAGGGACGAGGCUGGACUCAGGUGUUCUACCGCGAACCAUCACCAUGUAACAGUUUGAAAAAGUUGAGAAACAUGGUAUUGACGCUGUGGGGAAUUGAAGCCGGCUAACACUCGGUCCAAUUCUGCUCUAAUUAAAAGAAAUUUUUGUUACUACGCCCAAGAGAUACGCAUACUCAAAAAAUAUUCGUUCAAUGAACAUUGACAAAUGAAUACUCUUAUUUUAAUGAUAAGAUGCUUCGAAGAAUUAAAACCGAUGUUAUCCAAAUGAAAAAAAAAAAAAAAAAAAAAGAAUUAUAUAAAUUAGAAAUUUUUAAGAAUCUUUUUGUACUCUUUCAAUCUGUCAAAGAGUUGAACGAUUAGCGAGAAAAUUAUGUUCGCUAAGGUGUCCCGUUUAUAAGCCAAAAUCACAACUUUCAACGACGUCGAAAUUAAUUGAAUAAUUUCGAAUAAUUCGAUCUAAUCUGCGGCAUGGCUGACGGUUAACUUUCGUGACGCGCGACCGUCUACAAAGACGUUAAUUAAGUGAUUCAAUUAUAGCAUCCGAGAAAAUUAAGAUUCGUCGUGGAAAACCAAACUUCAAAAUAAGGCAACGGAACGGUCGCUGUACACAGACUGAAUUUUAAUCGCUGCGAAAUAUUUCGAGAUUACUUAUUCCACGAAUUAUUAUUUCUUUAUCCUUUUACGCGCCGUCCGGUUUUCCAUCGAUCGCGCGAAACUCGCUUUAUCAUCAUCCUUUGUCGUUUUUUUAAAUUGAAUAAAGGGGAGAAAUAUUAUGAGAUCGAUGGAAAAUAUGUAGGUGAUGACAAACCGAUGAAGUAAAAUAUGUAAAUUCCUAAAAAUUUCAGAGCAAAAUGAAAAACAAAAUCAAUCCCGUUUUCGAAUAUUUCGAAGGUAUUUGUUUUUGUUAAAAUCCAUUGUUAUCGGCAAAAGCAUUGUUAUCGGCCAAAUAAAUUCCAUUCAACGAUAAAUCAAACUUCAUAUAGUUUUAUUCAUUCUUACGGUCUAAGUUUGGAUUUGAGAAAGGAAAAAGAAAAAAAUAACUAGACCACGCCUUACUACGGAAUAUUAAAUUUGAUUCGUGCCAACGAUAAAAGAGCUUAUUAGAUGCACGUGCAUGAUUCCUUCCGAAAGAGCGACUCUUCUAAAAGGGGAGAAACAACCACUGUGCAUCUUCGUCAUUGCAUCUCUGUGUGCGUGUAUUUGUAUACAUGCUCCGUUCCUCUUGGCGGAUAUUACACUAACGUAUGAGUUAUGAUCCAGUGGUACGCGGGCCAACUAAUAAUUAGUUUUGGCAGAUGGAAAGUCGCAGAAAGAAAUGGGUGAGCGAUGAACGAACGCAAGAAAGGAUGGGGUUCGUUAUAAAUGCAAAAAUGAAUCAGAGCAAACGUUUUUUAACCAACAUAACGAUCCAUCUAUACCUCCAAGCCUUGUAUUUAUAACCAAUCCAUCAAUUUUCCAAGCCGCAAAAACGAAUCUCGAAGCUGUAGUUCGCCUCGUGGGAAAAUACCCUAAGUGGAUUUUAAUGUCCACGCGAGGACGUUUCUUCCAUUCCAUUUUCCUUCAUUCUUUAUUUGCGAUACUUAAGAUGACAGAUGAAAAACGAAACAAGAAGGGACAAACCUGUCGCCAUUAAACGAACCGAAAAGUGAUAUCAUUCGAUUGUAGAAAUACAUAAAUACCUGUAAGUAAAAGCAAUGCAGUUACUCCUUUAUUUUUCAUUUAAAGUCCAUCUUUUUUGGGAUUCCAUUUUCCAAAGUUGGAAAACUUAACGUUAAGUCAAAUGUCGAAUCGAAUCUUCCGAUUGAUCGGAAGUUCUGUCUCUUUUAAUACCUUUUAGAUUCAAAACGUAGAAACCGUUCCGUUCGACAGGAUAUUAUUCUAACAACGAUGUCUAGAUAUAUUCGAGAACGACCUACUUCCAAUAACCCAGAUCGUUUUUUUUCUCUCUCUUGGCAAAGGGAAAAAACUUGGAUGUAAUGAUAAAAGCUUGUCCCACUUGUCCGAGGAUAUAAAAAGAACAAGAGAACAGGAAAUAUACGCCAACGGGCAAAUUGAGGAAAAGGGGUGGUUCGAACAUUUUGGACAACGUCCAUUUUUAUGGGCCACGCGAUGUUGACUAGUCUUGUUCUUAGCUAGAAUUCUCUCUCUCUCCCCCCACCCUCUCUCUCUCUUUCUCUCUCUCUCUCUCUCUCUCUCUCUCUCAUUCUCUCGUGACUUUAAUAUGCACCCCUUCCAGAAAUUGAAUUCACCCUCUGCGACUUUUUCAUCCCCUUAUUCCCCCACCCGAAAUUCUCAGCGUGUCAUUUUCGUCCCGCAGACAACUUCCUAACGCAGGUGCAGCGAGAUUCGUAAUAUGGAUUUAAGAACGGUGCUCGAUAUUGACGGAUAUGGGAACCCCUGCGGUGGUAAAUGCUCUCCACGAGCUGCGAAACUAUCGAAAAUGCUUAUUGUUGGGACGAAACGUUGCAGUUAUUUUCUGCUGACUCAUUGCAGUUGUGGUGAACCUGAUUUCUUGAGUAUUACUCAAUAUGACCUUGCACGACUUUGUUUGCUGCUCUCUGUUGUGUUUCCAAUUUCUUAAUAAUACGCAAUUUUGUAAUCUUUCCUCUUGUCGAUAAUAAAAGAUGCAUUAAGUGUCCUUUUUCAAAUAAAAAGUUAUACCAAUUUUAAAUAGAUAAACGUAAGGACGAUCGAUAAACUGGAUCUAAAUAUAAAGUCAUCAUGAAAUAUUCAAUGGGAUAUUGUGAAAAUAAAGCCGA